AUGCCGCCCAAGGCGUCGAAGAAGGACGGCGAGCCGGCGGAGCGCCCCAUCCUCGGCCGCUUCUCCUCCCACCUCAAGAUCGGAAUCGUUGGGUUACCCAAUGUUGGCAAAUCAACUUUCUUCAACAUAGUAACAAAGUUGUCCAUCCCAGCUGAGAACUUCCCAUUCUGUACCAUUGAACCAAAUGAGGCACGGGUACAUGUUCCGGAUGAGCGAUUUGACUAUCUUUGCCAACUUUUCAAGCCAAAGAGUGAGGUGGCUGCAUAUCUGGAAAUCAACGACAUAGCCGGGCUUGUUAGAGGAGCAAGUGCAGGGGAGGGUCUGGGCAAUGCCUUCUUAUCCCAUAUACGUGCUGUUGAUGGAAUCUUUCAUGUCUUGAGAGCAUUUGAAGACACGGAAAUCACCCAUAUUGAUGAUACAGUUGAUCCUGUUCGUGAUUUGGAAACUAUUACUCAAGAACUGAGGCUCAAGGAUAUAGAGUUUGUGCAGGCUAAAAUUGAUGACCUUGAGAAGGCAAUGAAGAGGAGCAAUGACAAGCAACUUAAGAUAGACCAUGAAUUAUGUCAGAGGAUCAUGACACAUCUUCAAGACGGGAAAGACCUACGUUUAGGAGAAUGGAAAGCUGCUGAAAUUGAGAUCUUGAAUACCUUUCAGCUGCUUACUGCUAAGCCAGUUGUUUAUUUGGUGAACAUGAGUGAAAAGGACUACCUGAGAAAAAAGAACAAGUUUCUACCAAAGAUACAUGCUUGGGUGAAAGAGCAUGGUGGUGAAACUAUUAUUCCUUUCAGCUGUGCCUUCGAACAGAAACUAGUGGAUAUGCCAGAAGAUGAAGCUGCUAAAUAUUGCACCGAAAACCAAACGACAAGUUGA
rnacentral:rRNA from 1 species